UCAGCAUGCUUGUGAAUUUGAAGCUCAAAUUGAUGCAAGAAUUUCAUGUUCCUUAGGCCGCAGCAUAUUACUAUCAUGGUCUGAUUCUUGAUGAGGGAAACACAGAAAAGUCUCAUGGAAUGGCUGUAGCUGCUCUGCAAGCAGCGGAUGAGUAUCUCAAAGAAAGCAAGAAGGCUUGUGAAACUUUUAAUUCAUCCGUUCCUGUCUCUAGGUAAUGUUGUGCUCACUUUCCAACUGCUUCCAUGUUACAAAUGGGAUCGCUUGUCAAUUUCUUUCUUUAUUCAUAUUAAUUACUCAGAAAUACAUGUGUACCUUCUGUUUCAUUAUAUAACAUCGAGAAAUCUGAGAAAAUGGAGAUUCAAAAGAGAUCAGACCACACCAUUUAUGAUAGCUGUAAUUUACUCCUGUUUUGGUCCUCCAUAAGAAUUUGGUUAGGAACAUUUGAAAGGUAGCUUCUAGAACUGAGGUAUACAAAUAUAUAAGCCUUUGGAAUGGUUAUUUAUUUAUUUAUUAUUUCUUUUAAAGCUAUUUAUAGACAGUAAUUUCUUAUUUGUGUCCAUGUAGCAUGAACUAUAGCAAAUAAUGUUAGUAUUUAUUUUUUCCUAUCAGUGUACUGUAAAAAAAUGAGAUGGCAGAAAGAAAAAGCAUUGUAUAUCUUUGCAUGCUUUUGGCAUCUGUUUGGUCCUCCUAGUUUUACAUCUAUCCAUGUGACAUCUCCAUUUUUACCGAUUUUGCCUAAGAUCCAAUUUUAAAUGAAGAAAACAACAUUUUUCUACUUAAUCACGUAACAAUUUUUUAAGAUUGAAUAAUAGGUUAGUGUACAUUACAUUACGACUAAAGAUGAUCUUGAUGGCUCUGAGAAUCAGUAAAUUCUUAUUUCUGAUGCAGGAAUCCACCUCUUUGGGGAACAAUGAAGUAUCUCUCAGAGAAGAUUCCCAAGGACACUUCUAGCAAGGUCCGAAUUAACAGGGAUCUAUACUCUAGUGAAAAGUAAGUCUUCUUUAGUAUUAUAACUCCAAAAAAUACAAGUCAUUCAUGCACGUAUAUCAGCAUAGAUGUUAUACAAAUAUGGUGGUGGGGCUGCAACUCUUACGUUAACAACAGGAAAACAGUGAACCAGUUGAGCAGAAAUUUUUGGGGUCUUUGUUCACGGAAUUUAAUAGAUAUUCUUGCCUAACCACAUGGAAGCAAGGUUGGGUCUUGUCUAAUGUAAACUAAUUCUUUUGAAUGUAGAAUUAUGGAGACAGCACCAACUUUGCCUGACUUUGCAUUGGCUCUGAAACCUGAUGAAUAUCAGCUUCCUAUUGUUGAUGCAUUUUGGAAUGAGGAAACAAACAAGGCCCAAGUCAACCACGAGAAGCUUAAAGGGUAGCUUUGCACGGGUUCCACACAUAUCAAACUCUGAAAAAAUACAUGUCUGCAAAUGCAAUGGUACAUGCUGUUCAUAGACGAGGAAGGGUUGUAGAAGAAUUACCAAUCAAUUUUUUGGUUAAUUUGCAUCCCAAAGGUCCAUCCUCUUCUCUUUGGCUUUUCCAUUUCCCCCCCCUUUUGAUCUUCUUGUUAAUUGAAUCGUUUUGUAUCAUUUCCUACAAAUGUGUAAUAAUCCCCCCGUGAGAAAGAUUUGUACAACGACCUUUUAUGUUUACUUUUAACACUGGAGGGAAAGGAUAAAGAAUGAAUUUAUUUGCCAACGUAAAAAAUUCUUUUUCCUGUUGUCGUAGUUCAUAAAAAAUAAGUCGAUAAGAACUCUUAG
rnacentral:lncRNA from 1 species